rnacentral:pre_miRNA from 1 species
CAUAUACUCCCUCCGUCCGAAAAUACUUGUCCUAGAAAUGAAUGUAUCUAGAUUUAUUUUAGUUAUAGAUACAUCCAUUUUAUUCAUUUCUAGGACAAGUAUUUUCGGACGGAGGGAGUAAGAA